rnacentral:rRNA from 1 species
UGUAAGGCCGGGGAAAGGGGUGUGGUAAUACGAGUGGGGCUGGGGGUGUUCGGAAUUACGUGGCGUAAAGCGCGCGUAGGCGGUUCUUUAAGUCAGAGGUGAAAGCCCGGUGCUCAACAUCGGAAUAGCCUUUGAGACUGGGGGACUAGAAUCCGGGAGAGGUGAGUGGAAUUCCGAGUGUAGAGGUGAAAUUCGUAGAUAUUCGGAAGAACACCAGUGGCGAAGGCGGCUCACUGGACCGGCAUUGACGCUGAGGUGCGAAAGCGUGGGGAGCAAACAGGAUUAGAUACCCUUGUAGUC